rnacentral:rRNA from 1 species
UAGGGAAUCUUCGGCAAUGGACGGAAGUCUGACCGAGCAACGCCGCGUGAGUGAAGAAGGUUUUCGGAUCGUAAAGCUCUGUUGUAAGAGAAGAACGAGUGUGAGAGUGGAAAGUUCACACUGUGACGGUAUCUUACCAGAAAGGGACGGCUAACUACGUGCCAGCAGCCGCGGUAAUAGGUGUUCCCCCGAGCGUUGUCCGGAUUUAUUGGGCUAAAGCGAGCGCAGGCGGUUAUUAGAUAAGUCUGAAGUUAAAGGCUGUGGCUUAACCAUAGUAGGCUUUGGAAACUGUUUAACUUGAGUGCAAGAGGGGAGAGUGGAAUUCCAUGUGUAGCGGUGAAAUGCGUAGAUAUAUGGAGGAACACCGGUGGCGAAAGCGGCUCUCUGGCUUGUAACUGACGCUGAGGCUCGAAAGCGUGGGGAGCAAACAGGAUUAGAUACCCUGGUAGUCCACGCUGUAAACGAUGAGUGCUAGGUGUUAGACCCUUUCCGGGGUUUAGUGCCGUAGCUAACGCAUUAAGCACUCCGCCUGGGGAGUACGACCGCAAGGUUG